GAUGAACGCUGGCGGCGUGCCUAAUACAUGCAAGUCGAGCGAACAGAUAAGGAGCUUGCUCCUUUGACGUUAGCGGCGGACGGGUGAGUAACACGUGGGUAACCUCCCUAUACGACUGGAAUAACUCCGGGAAACCGGGGCUAAUGCCGGAUAACAUUUAGAACCGCAUGGUUCUAAAGUGAAUGAUGGUUUUGCUAUCCCUUAUAGAUGGACCCUCGCCGUAUUAGCUCGUUGGUAAGGUAACGGCUUACCAAGGCAACGAUACGUAGCCGACCUGGGAGGGUGAUCGGCCACACUGGAACUGAGACACGGUCCAGACUCCUACGGGAGGCAGCAGAAGGGAAUCUUCCGCAAUGGGCGAAAGCCUGACGGAGCAACUCCGCGUGAGUGAUGAAGGUCUUCGGAUCGGAAAACUCUGUUAUUAGUGAAGAACAAAUGUGUAAGUAACUGUGCACGUCUUGACGGUACCUAAUCAGAAAGCCACGGCUAACUACGUG
rnacentral:rRNA from 1 species